CUGGUUGAUCCUGCCAGUAGUGAUAUGCUUGUCUCAAAGAUUAAGCCAUGCAUGUCUGAGUACAGACCGAUCUAAGGUGAAACCGCGAAUGGCUCAUUAAAUCAGUCAUAAUUCCUUGGAUAGUGAAAAAUUUCCUCGGAUAACUGUGGAAAAUCCAGAGCUAAUACGUGCAACUGAGCUCCGACCUCGGCGCGAGCCUUGGGAAGAGCGCAUUUAUUAGAUUCAAAACUGACCGGCGUAGUCCUUCGGGAUGCGCCGUUUGUCGAAAGUUUGAUGACUCCGGAUAACUUAGCCGAGCGCUACGGUCCUAGUACCGGCGCCGUAUCUUUCAAGUGUCUGCCUUAUCAGCUUUCGAUUGUAGGUUAAACGCCUACAAUGGCUGUAACGGGUAACGGGGAAUCAGGGUUCGAUUCCGGAGAGGGAGCCUGAGAAACGGCUACCACAUCUAAGGAAGGCAGCAGGCACGCAAAUUACCCACUCCCAGCCCGGGGAGGUAGUGACGAAAAAUAACGAUGCGAGACUCUUCCGAGGCCUCGCAAUCGGAAUGAGUCCAUUUUAAAACUUUGGACGAGGAUCCAUUGGAGGGCAAGUCUGGUGCCAGCAGCCGCGGUAAUUCCAGCUCCAAUAGCGUAUAUUAAAGUUGCUGCGGUUAAAAAGCUCGUAGUUGGACUUCCUAGAUCCAUUUCGCGAACGGGUCGCUCGUCGAUCUAACGUCUAGCGUCAGUUGCUCGACGACGUCACUUCAAUCGUACGAGGGGAUCGUGGGCGUGCUUCUUUCUUUCGGGAUUGAGUCGUCUCGUUCUUCUCUACGGGAGUGUUUCGGAGUCUCGCGGACGGUUAGUCGUUGUCUUCGGGUAUCGCUCGCUCGCGUUUGGUAAAAUUAAAAUUUUGUCGGCUCGCUCGGAGUGCUCUUUACCGAGUGUUCCAGGGUGGCCGACACGUUCACUUUGAAAAAAUUAGAGUGCUUAAAGCGGGCUCUUACGUGGCCUGAAUGUCUGUGCAUGGAAUGAAGUAACAGGACCUCGAUUCUGUUCUUUUUGUCGGUUUUAUUGAACCGAGGUAAUGAUUAAAAGGGACAGACGGUGGCAUUAGUAUUGCGGCGCUAGAGGUGAAAUUCUUGGACCGCUGCAAGACUAACUACUGCGAAAGCAUUUGCCGAGAAUGUUUUCAUUAAUCAAGAACGAAAGUUAGAGGAUCGAAGGCGAUCAGAUACCGCCCUAGUUCUAACCCUAAACUAUGCUAACUAGCGAUCCGCCGGAGUCAUUCCCACGACCCGGCGGGAAGCCCCAGGGAAACCAAAGUCUUUGAGUUCCGGGGGAAGUAUGGUUGCAAAGCUGAAACUUAAAGGAAUUGACGGAAGGGCACCACCAGGAGUGGAGUGCGGCUUAAUUUGACUCAACACGGGAAACCUCACCAGGCCCGGACAUCAUAAGGAUUGACAGGUUGAGAGCUCUUUCUCGAUUUGAUGGGUGGUGGUGCAUGGCCGUUCUUAGUUGGUGGAGUGAUCUGUCUGGUUGAUUCCGAUAACGAACGAGACUCUACCCUACUAACUAGUCGGCGGAUCGUAACCCUGAGAUGGUUAGUUGGUAUAGGGCGGUUCAGCCUAGGCGUUGGUUCCUCGAUUUUUGCGUGGCGUUAGAUUAUUUCGCCCUGGUUGCUUUUCGGAGUGAUCGGGUAGUGUUUGUGGUCUUUCGUUCGGGUCGUGUUGGGCUGCGUCGAAGCUUCCGUCUGAUUGCUGCUACUGCUGGGGGCGUCCGUCGCAUUGUAUCUUCUUAGAGGGAUCAGCGGCGUAUAGCCGCACGAGAAAGAGCAAUAACAGGUCUGUGAUGCCCUUAGAUGUUCUGGGCCGCACGCGCGCUACAAUGUAGAGAUCAGCGUGCUUUCCCUCUCCGAAAGGAGCGGGUAACCCGUUGAAACCCCUACCCGAUUGGGAUUGGGGAUUGCAAAUAUUUCCCAUAAACGAGGAAUUCCCAGUAAGCGCUAAUCAUUAAUUAGCGCUGAUUACGUCCCUGCCCUUUGUACACACCGCCCGUCGCUACUACCGAUUGAAUGAUUCAGUGAGGGCAUCGGACUGGCGCCUUCGGUUUAGUAACAUAGACCUUAGGCUGACGGAAAGAUGUCCGAACUUGAUCAUUUAGAGGAAGUAAAAGUCGUAACAAGGUUUCCGUAGUGAACCUGCGGAAGGA
rnacentral:rRNA from 1 species